rnacentral:tRNA from 1 species
GGGCCCAUAGCUCAAAGGUUAGAGCAGCGCUCUCAUAAAGCGUUGGUUGCCGGUUCGACCCCAGCUGGGCCCAC